AGUCUUUCUGUGAUUAUCCACACAGCAACACGUGAGAGCUUGCUCUGCUGUCCUGGCAGAUGGUCAGCUGGUCCGCAGUCACUUCCAAGAACUGGCUGAGAGCACCACAAGAUGGCAGUCUGAAUUCUGGAGAGGCCGUCUGGUUCAGACCAGUCCAGCCAGGUUCCUGUGGUUUGACAGGACAGAAGACACAGCGAGGCUGAUGAAGUUCAGGUCAGAAAAUGACC